rnacentral:rRNA from 1 species
GACAGAGGUGCCAAGCGUUAGGCGGAAUCACUGGGCUUAAAGCGUGUGUAGGCGGACUGGUAAGUACCUUGUGAAAUCCCACGGCUUAACCGUGGAACUGCUUGGUAUACUGCUUAUCUUGGGCCACUUAGGAGUUACCGGAACAAACGGUGGAGCGGUGAAAUGCGUAGAUAUCGUUUGGAACGCCAAUGGUGAAAACAGGUAACUGGGAGUGUGCCGACGCUGAGACACGAAAGCCAGGGGAGCGAACGGG